rnacentral:rRNA from 1 species
GACAGAGGAGGCAAGCGUUGUCCGGAUUGACUGGGCGUAAAGCGCGCGCAGGUGGUUUCUUAAGUCUGAUGUGAAAGCCCACGGCUCAACCGUGGAGGGUCAUUGGAAACUGGGGAACUUGAGUGCAGGAGAGAAGAGUGGAAUUCCACGUGUAGCGGUGAAAUGCGUAGAGAUGUGGAGGAACACCAGUGGCGAAGGCGACUCUUUGGCCUGUAACUGACACUGAGGCGCGAAAGCGUGGGGAGCAAACAGG